rnacentral:rRNA from 1 species
GAGUUUGAUCAUGGCUCAGGAUGAACGCUAGCUACAGGCUUAACACAUGCAAGUCGAGGGGCAGCAUGGUCUUAGCUUGCUAAGGCCGAUGGCGACCGGCGCACGGGUGAGUAACACGUAUCCAACCUGCCGAUAACUCGGGGAUAGCCUUUCGAAAGAAAGAUUAAUACCCGAUGGUAUAAUCAGACCGCAUGGUCUUGUUAUUAAAGAAUUUCGGUUAUCGAUGGGGAUGCGUUCCAUUAGGCAGUUGGUGAGGUAACGGCUCACCAAACCUUCGAUGGAUAGGGGUUCUGAGAGGAAGGUCCCCCCACAUUGGAACUGAGACACGGUCCAAACUCCUACGGGAGCAGCAGUGAGGAAUAUUGGUCAA